CCUACGGGAGGCAGCAGUGGGGAAUCUUGCGCAAUGGGCGAAAGCCUGACGCAGCCAUGCCGCGUGAAUGAUGAAGGUCUUAGGAUUGUAAAAUUCUUUCACCGGGGACGAUAAUGACGGUACCCGGAGAAGAAGCCCCGGCUAACUUCGUGCCAGCAGCCGCGGUAAUACGAAGGGGGCUAGCGUUGCUCGGAAUUACUGGGCGUAAAGGGAGCGUAGGCGGAUAGUUUAGUCAGAGGUGAAAGCCCAGGGCUCAACCUUGGAAUUGCCUUUGAUACUGGCUAUCUUGAGUUUGGGAGAGGUGAGUGGAACUCCGAGUGUAGAGGUGAAAUUCGUAGAUAUUCGGAAGAACACCAGUGGCGAAGGCGACUCACUGGCCCAAUACUGACGCUGAGGCUCGAAAGCGUGGGGAGCAAACAGGAUUAGAUACCCUGGUAGUCCACGCCGUAAACGAUGAGUGCUAGUUGUCGGCAUGCAUGCAUGUCGGUGCGCAGCUACGCAUAGCACUCCGCCGUCGGGAGGUACGGUCGCGAGAGUAAACGUACGUAAGUUAAGUUAGUACGCGUUGAGAGNGCGAGGACGACGACGAGGAGAGG
rnacentral:rRNA from 1 species